CUGCACUGAUGACAUCUUAGGACACCUUUGGAUAAAUGAUGAAAAUAACACGUUAACUCUGAGCGGC
ensembl:snoRNA SNORD58 Small nucleolar RNA SNORD58